UACGUAGGGUGCGAGCGUUGUCCGGAAUUAUUGGCGUAAAGGGCUCGUAGGCGGUCUGUUGCGUCGGUAGUGAAAACUCAGGGCUUAACCCUGAGCCUGCUUCCGAUACGGGCAGACUAGAGGUAUGCAGGGGGAGAACGGAAUUCCUGGUGUAGCGGUGAAAUGCGCAGAUAUCAGGAGGAACACCGGUGGCGAAGGCGGUCUCUGGGCCGUAACUGACGCUGAGGAGCGAAAGCGUGGGGAGCAAACAGG
rnacentral:rRNA from 1 species